UGUGGCCUAUAUUUUAUGCAAGCCACAGCUACUAAACUAUGAGUCAAACUUAAUAAUAUUGUAGCCUACAAUAUUAGCCCUAGAUAAGAGCU
rnacentral:rRNA from 1 species